CUGGAUAUGAGGACACUGCACCAGAGACAGCGAUUGGUGUUCCGUGGGUAGGAGCUCUGGGAUUCUGCCAAUUAAGACAAUGCUUCAGUGAUAUAAAAUGGAAUAUGAAUUCUUAAUUAUAAUUUCUCUUAGUAGUUUCUGCUUGCUUGCAUCUAACUUUUAAUGGCUUUAUAGGAAGUUUGUGCACACACUCCAAGGCAAAAUCUGGACUUAUGUUUUUCUCAUUUCUCUGGUGUGUUUCAGGAAUGUUGCCAAUGAAUGGCUCCGUUGUGGGCUGUGUUGUUUUUACCUCUUGGAUUUGUGUUCCCUGAAGACCAAAGAAAGCUGUUCAAGCAGUGUAUGAGUGAAGCACAAGAAAACCACCUUUUUGUGUUUCAUGGACUGUUACAGACGCAGCGCGGCUGAAGAGCUAACACCACAUUUAAGGGAUACAAAAUGGAUGCUUAAUGAUCUAAAUGCUUCCUACUUCUUGUAAUUCACACAAAAGAACAGAGUAAAGAAAAUUCUGAAAUUAUAGGAUUUAUAGACCUUAGAUUACAGAUAUUAAUUUUUUAGAUUACUAUUUAGGAAGGCUUUAUAAUAGCUUGUAAUAUUUAAUUUGUUAAUUGGAGCCACCUAUAUUUGGAUGAAAUUACUUCACUCAUGUCCAUGAAAGGUAUCAUUGUUCAAAAUACUCUGUGUCUUUGCUGUGUGUGUUCUUCCAUGCUUUUUUGUGUGUGCUCAUCAUAGGCAAAUGUUAGAAAAUGUCUUUAAAAAUGGGGGAAGUGAAAAUCAUGAGUUGCAAGUUGACAUCAGGAGUUACAGAUCACUUCCAGUGAUGUUUCUAGGCUUUCUUAUUUGUUAUUGAGCCUUUGAAGAGCCCAUGAUUAGUUACUGAAUCAGCACAUUGCUGCUUCAUUUUUUCUCAUCAUGUUCUUGCACUCAAAAGCAACAACAAUAUAAACCCCUAAAGUCAAAUCAGAGCAUGUAUUUCAAUCCAGCUCAUAAAGCUCAGGUGACAGUAACUGAUGACUGGGAAAUACAGACCAAUUCGACGGUGGGCACUGAUGAAAUCUGUAAAAUGCAUUAGGCCAGUUGUGACAAAUGUUCUGGCUUUUAGCUUUUUGUGACCUUUUAUUAUUUUACAUAGAGGAUCCUGGAAGCAACAAAUGGUUCUUUCAAACAUUCCGUGUAGAGUGAACUUCCUUCAAAUAAGAUGGGCCCAGGGGCUUGAGAGUAGAGUAUAAGAGAUGUAAGGGAGGCUGUUCUUCUUGAGUUCUGGUAUUUUUAAAGCAAACAAGCAAAAGCCCCAAGGAGGUGAUGGGAUUAAAUCUCAAACUCCACAUUGUUCUGUAUUUGGUGAAGCAGCCAGGAGCAGACUGAGGCUUUUUCCCAACAGAGCUUUGACAUGCUCAUUUAUUUUAUUGCCAUGCUUUUAAACAGGUUUAUUACUGUAUGGAUAUGAGAACAGAACAGACCCCUCUGAGGAGUCCUUUCCAGGGGGGAAUGUAGAGGUUAGGAGAGGAAACACUUGAAAGGAAUCCCAAACAGCUCUCUCCCAUUUUCUCUCUGUCACUUCAACGUAAUGAACAGGGAUAAAUAAAGUAAUAAAGCUGUCUGCA
rnacentral:lncRNA from 1 species